UUGGGUGGCUGAAUUAGAGAUCGGCACCUGUACAUUCAUUUAAUAAAUUGGAGUUGUAAUGUGUCUCUAAAUUUUGAAACUAAAGCGCAAAUCAUUGCGGAUUUUGGCCGUGAUGCA
rfam:Erwinia tracheiphila strain BuffGH Etrach_2, whole genome shotgun sequence.